rnacentral:rRNA from 1 species
UACGUAGGGUGCAGGCGUUAAUCGGAAUUACUGGGCGUAAAGCGUGCGCAGGCGGUCUUUUAAGUCAGAUGUGAAAUCCCCGGACUUAACCUGGGAACUGCGUUUGAAACUGGAAGGCUAGAGUGUGGCAGAGGGGGGUGGAAUUCCACGUGUAGCAGUGAAAUGCGUAGAUAUGUGGAGGAACACCGAUGGCGAAGGCAGCCCCCUGGGCUAACACUGACGCUCAUGCACGAAAGCGUGGGGAGCAAACAGG